CCCAACCCCAACCGAGCGGCCCCCGUUCCCUUUAAACGGGGCAACCUCAGUAGCCCCGAAGGACCACUGAAAGUUUCAUACAUUUUCAAGUGGAAAAAGUACGGCUGGAACAAAGAGUUGGAACAGUGCUCUAGGUGCCUCCUGGAGUUCCAGUGGUGUGGGAAAUCUUUAUGCUGCCCAAGCUUGGCCUUGCUGUGAUGUGCCCGAACAUGUCAAUCCUGACAGCUGGAGACCUGGCACUUGAUGCAAACACAAUGCUGUAGUAGGAUUAAGACUAUUUAUGAUAACUGGUUACUUGCUUUAUGUUUGAAGAAGAUGGAAAAUACACCAAUGAAAACAUCAUUUGUAAAUGGAUCAAGAAUAAUCAUAGUGCAUACUUCUGAAGAUUGCAGUGAAACAUCUAAAAAAACCAGCCAACUAACCAAAAAAUUCCUGUGCUCCCCUACCCCUACCCUUCCUCCCCAAACAUCAUAGUCACAGCACUUUUAGCGGUGGGAGUAGAAAGGGAGUAAAAAUAGUCUGUUUAGGAUCACUAUCAAAGUUUCAAAUGUCUUCAAUGUGUUUGUAUUGAGCCUAAUACAACUGCCCUGGUGGAGAUAAUUAAUAACUGCUCAAGAUCUUCAUGCAUGCAAACAGCCUCUGUAUUUCUAAGGAGUCAGGGGUGCUCUGAACACCCUUCUCCUCAGGUUCAGAGGCUCUGCCUUUCCACUACAGAAAAAGCCACUUGGGAGGAAGUGAUCAAGGUUUGCUUCUAGGAUAUUCCAAUUACCAGUAAUAUCCAGAAAGGAACUUGAAUUUGUAAUAUUAAUUCAACAACAUUAUGAAUGAACUACAGGAAACAAUGCA